rnacentral:rRNA from 1 species
AGAGUUUGAUCCUGGCUCAGAGCGAACGCUGGCGGCAUGCUUAACACAUGCAAGUCGCACGGGCAGGGCAACCUGUCAGUGGCGGACGGGUGAGUAACGCGUAGGUAUUUAUCUAUGGGUGGGGGACAACCGCGGGAAACUGCGGCUAAUACCGCAUGACGAGCCUGAUCGGGAGGUUAGGUUCCAAAGGUCUUCGGAUC